UCAGCAAGGUGUAGGUGAAACUCGUGCAGGUGUCAGAUUUCAUGUGGAACGUCAGCCAAUGAGACAUUCACAUCGCAGCCCUGUCAAACGCGCACAGGAGUUAAGACAGCCAGGAAGUUCCCAUUCCGCCAGGAAGGUUGACAUAGGAGCUCAUAUGAGAAUAGAGACAGUCAUCAGCGCAUGUGAACGACACAUCCAGCAGUGGACUAAAAUUUGGAGGAAUAAGUUUUGGUCAAAGUGGGACAGGGGAAGGACUCGUGAUACCCUGAAUAAGAAGAUGCUGCGUUUACUCUUUCUGUUUUUGAUUCUUCGAGGUGCAGUUGACGAUGAAGACGGUGAUGCUCCAGUGGAGACAAGACGUAUUCAAUAUUCAGAUCCUGGAGAAAUUCCUAAAGUAGGUCCCGGAUCAGAUAGAUCCACAGGAGAUGAUGAAGCUAAUGAAGGUGGAACAUUGAUAAUCAUCAUAGCUGCCGUUAGCGUCAUAGUUCUGGCCAUUGGAGGCAUUGUAGCUAUUUUCCUCUUCAGACGCUACUUGCAAAGCCGAGAACAAGGUGAAUUUUUGAAGCUUAAAAGCUCCAGUCCAUAUUCAUUGUAAAUGUAAUAAAACGUCAAACAUCAGG
ensembl:lncRNA